GCAACCCCUUCAGCCCCUGGACACUGGCACAAAUGCAGCCCAGUGCACACACACGACUCUCCCAGAGCGUCCCAAGCUUCUGAAGAUGCCAGUCCAGAAAGCCCAGGUGGAGCCCCCUUCAGUGUGGGCUGGACUUAGAGACUCACCUGUAAAGAAUCAAACGUGGAGGAAUUGAUGGUGUGUGACAUCAGAAACUAGGACGUUGUAGCUUCUGCCUUGCUGUUUCUUGGAUCCCUUGCCACGUUGCCAUGCUGUCAGGACACUCAAGCAUCCCUAUGCAAACAUCCAGGUGGUGAGGAUCUGAGAUCUCCUACCAACAGCCAGCACCAACUUGCUAGCCACGUGAGUGAAGUCACCUUGCAAGCUGAUGCUCCAGCCCAGCCUUCAGAUGGCCGCAGCCCAAGCUGACAACUUGACCCCAGCCUCAUGAGAGACCAUGAGCUAGAACUACCCAGCGACCCUGCUUCCAAACACCUGAUCCCCAGCAACUGUG